GGAUAACCUGCCCUUGGGACCGGCAUAACCCCGGGAAACUGGGGAUAAUACCGGAUAACGCAUAUCUGCUGGAAUGCUUUAUGCGUAAAAUGGAUUUGUCUGCCCAAGGAUGGGUCUGCGGCCUAUCAGGUAGUAGUGGGUGUAAUGUACCUACUAGCCUACGACGGGUACGGGUUGUGAGAGCAAGAGCCCGGAGAUGGAUUCUGAGACAUGAAUCCAGGCCCUACGGGGCGCAGCAGGCGCGAAAACUUUACAAUGCGGGAAACCGUGAUAAGGGGACACCGAGUGCCAGCAUCAUAUGUUGGCUGUCCAGAUGUGUAAAAUACAUCUGUUAGCAAGGGCCGGGCAAGACCGGUGCCAGCCGCCGCGGUAACACCGGCGGCCCGAGUGGUGAUCGUGAUUAUUGGGUCUAAAGGGUCCGUAGCCGGUUUGGUCAGUCCUCCGGGAAAUCUGACGGCUCAACCGUUAGGCUUUCGGUGGAUACUGCCAGACUUGGAACCGGGAGAGGUAAGAGGUACUACAGGGGUAGGAGUGAAAUCUUGUAAUCCCUGUGAGACCACCUGUGGCGAAGGCGCCUCACCAGAACGGCUUCGACAGUGAGGGACGAAAGCUGGGGGAGCAAACCGGAUUAGAUACCCGGGUAGUCCCAGCCGUAAACGAUGCGCGUUAGGUGUGUCGAUGACCACGAGUCAUCGAGGUGCCGAAGGGAAACCGUGAAACGCGCCGCCUGGGAAGUACGGUCGCAAGGCUGAAACU
rnacentral:rRNA from 1 species